rnacentral:rRNA from 1 species
AUACGGAGGGUGCAAGCGUUACUCGGAAUCACUGGGCGUAAAGCGCGCGCAGGCGGGCUGAUAAGUUGGAUGUGAAAGCCUACGGCUCAACCGUAGAACUGCAUCCAAAACUGUCAGUCUAGAGUCUGGGAGGGGAAGAUGGAAUUAGUUGUGUAGGGGUAAAAUACGUAGAGAUAACUAGGAAUACCAAAAGCGAAGGCGAUCUUCUGGAACAGUACUGACGCUGAGGCGCGAAAGCGUGGGGAGCAAACAGGAUUAGAUACCCUAGUAGUCC